rnacentral:lncRNA from 1 species
UCAAAGCCUUAGAACAAACAGCUGGGAAAAUUGUCACAGAAAAUACAAUCAUCUAAAGAAAAAGCAACAGAAGCAAACAAAUGAGCCACUUUAUUCCCUAUAAGUCUAGCGUGAGACUGUUCCACUUCCUGGAAAUCCUUUGUCUAACAUCUAGAUAUCUUGAACAAUUGAGCCGAAUUUGGUUUCACUGGACUGAAUUGUCGAAGAGCUGAGAUUACUCACUUUCUACAAUAAGAUUUUUUUUUUACGUAUCUAAAAUUAGUUUAGAGUGUGUCGGAAAGACUCCAAAGUCUGAACUAGAAACUUUAGUUAAUUACUGUCUCAUCUGCAUGCUGCUUCAAUAAAUUUUUGAUACCUGCUGUACGAACCAACGUCAAACUCCACAAGAUUGGUUCAGCUUUUGCACUCACGACAUUAGACCUGUCCUUCGUUGUGGCGAACCAUUCCUAACCCCCAGCUAGAGUCUCCCCUUUUUGCCUGCAUCGAUGUUCAUCUUCAUAAUAUUCUGAGGAGGAUGCGGACAUUUCUGCUGAGCUUGCACGACAGAACCUUCAGCCUCACCGUUUGCUUGCAACAAAUCGUAAUCUGUUGAACCCUCUAUUUUUCCCUACCACAAUGGUCACGCUACCACACACCAGAGCCCGACAAUUUCUUCAUCCGAGUGUACCCUCAGAUACUCGAACCAACCACUGCAACAUCGUUAACUCCCUCAUAUUUCUCCUGUCCAUUUUCCAACACUACAAUCAAACCAAGUUUCCUGAGAAAAUCCUACAAUCUUUGAUAACAUGGCUUGAACUUUCCUUUGCCUCACCACAUGCUCUCUUGAACUACACCUCGAUGUCUUAAGGCUGUCUUGGUAGGGACUGCACAUGAAAUGUUUAAUUUCUUGGAGGAAUUUUGAGCCUCCAAAUUAAGACGACUCCAAUUAUGAUCAAAUUCUGAAGUCCCACUUGAACCCCCUCUCCUUACCUCCGAACUAGUAUAUUAACCAAUCCGGAUAGAAGAUCCAAAAAAAGAAAAAAAAAUUGGUAAGCUGAACAAACAGAAAACCAACCAUUAUCAGAAUAAUGCCCAAUUCAACUAUCUUCCAAACCAAAACCACUUAUUGGUAUUUCCUUGCUUAAUAAUGGCUGCCUCUUGUGCUAAGAAAGAGGAACCAAUUGGUUUUGUUCCACCCUCUAACUGCCGGAUUCGUACUAUCUUUUACCCGAGCCUCUCUGUCUAAAUCAUUAGCAGCCGACCAAACAUUUAAGCCAUAAGAACAAGGUAACUAAUUCUAAACUGAAUGAUUGAAAUUUCAUU